rnacentral:rRNA from 1 species
UACGUAGGGUGCGAGCGUUGUCCGGAAUUACUGGGCGUAAAGAGCUCGUAGGUGGUUUGUCGCGUUGUUCGUGAAAACUCACAGCUUAACUGUGGGCGUGCGGGCGAUACGGGCAGACUGGAGUACUGCAGGGGAGACUGGAAUUCCUGGUGUAGCGGUGGAAUGCGCAGAGUAUCAGGAGGAACACCGGUGGCGAAGGCGGGAUCUCGUGGGCAGUGAACUGACGCUGGAGGAGCGAAAGCCGGGGGAGCAAACGG